rnacentral:rRNA from 1 species
UGGGGAAUCUUGGACAAUGGGGGCAACCCUGAUCCAGCCAUGCCGCGUGAGUGAUGAAGGCCUUAGGGUCGUAAAGCUCUUUCGCCUGUGAAGAUAAUGACGGUAGCAGGUAAAGAAACCCCGGCUAACUCCGUGCCAGCAGCCGCGGUAAUACGGAGGGGGUUAGCGUUGUUCGGAAUUACUGGGCGUAAAGCGCACGUAGGCGGACCAGAAAGUUGGGGGUGAAAUCCCGGGGGCUCAACCCCGGAACUGCCUCCAAAACUAUUGGUCUAGAGUUCGAGAGAGGUGAGUGGAAUUCCAAGUGUAGAGGUGAAAUUCGUAGAUAUUCGGAGGAACACCAGUGGCGAAGGCGGCUCGCUGGCCAAGAUACUGACGCUGAGGUGCGAAAGGCGUGGGGAGCAAACAGGAUUAGAUACCCUGGUAGUCCACGCCGUAAACGAUGAGUGCUAGUCGUCGGCAGGCAUGCCCUGUCGGUGACGCAGCUAACGCAUUAAGCACUCCGCCUGGGGAGUACGGCCGCAGGUUAAAAC